ACGACAGUGAACCCUGAGAUAAGACGACUGUGAACUCAGAGAAAAGACAACAGUGAACCCACGGAAAAGACAACAGUGAAUCCAAAGAAAAUGUAACAGUGAACCCAGAGAAAAGACAAAGGUGAACCCAGAGAAAAGAUGAUGGUUCACCCAGAGGAAAGACGACAGUUAACCCACAGAAAAUGCAACAGUGAACCCAGAGAAAAGAUGACAGUGAACUUAGAGAAAUGUUAAUGGUGAACUCUGAGAAAAGACGAUGUGGAACCCACAGAAAAGAUGAUGGUUCACUCAGAGAAAAGGCAACAGUGAACCCAGAGAAAAGACAGUGCACCCUGAGAAAAGACGACAGUGGACCCUGAGAAAAGCCUCAGAAAGCUAUCCAGGACAAAAUCCAUCCUGCAAUCAGAUGCCCCACAGUUAGUGACAUUUCUGACACUGGUGGAAGUUUCUUGUUCAUUUGAUCUUUGAUUUAUGCAAAGAUCUGGUUGUACCUGGAAGACGGGAAGAGUGGGGACCACAGUUCAUAACCAUUCUGAGGAAGUUUGCCUUUAUUCAUUUACUGCUACAUCCACACAGCUCACAGCAUGACAAAAUCUUGUCAAUGACCAAGGAUGACACUAGGAAGAUAAUGUAAUUUUCAAAUGUGGUUUUCCUGAAACCAAGUCAACUAUAGCUGAUAUGUUUCAUUUCAUUGAUUAAUGUUUACAUGGGAAAAACCAAUAUUAUACUUUACUGAACUUUGUGUAAUUGUUCCGAUUUUUUGAUAUCUGUUUGACUUACCAUGGGGUUGACAUAAUGAAUUUAUUGCACAUUGUUCAAAAGGAACCAGGAGGUUUUUGUCAGCACUGUAAUGUAAAUUCCUUUGCAGAUGGUAACUGUAGAUGGAAAAACUUUUGCUAUAAAAUGAAAUGCUUCCUUAAAUCAGACAUUUUGGUCAAGUAGCUUGACUCAGUACAGGUAGGGAGAUAUUUAAAUAUAAAAUACAAUGAAAGAAGCCUAAAUAUUUAGAAUCUUUGUUUAGAUCCUGUAAGUAACUAAUAAUCCAUAAGCAAUGCAAUAUUGCUCUAUUGGGUCCUUUUGACAUUUAUUUCAUCAUAUAGCUUUCCAUAUUGAAUAAAUUUACAGAUUUAAUUUAUAUAACUUGAACCUAUGAAGCAAUGGAUAUUUCUGCGGUUUAAUGUCUUGU
rnacentral:lncRNA from 1 species